rnacentral:rRNA from 1 species
UACGGAGGGGGCUAGCGUUGUUCGGAAUUACUGGGCGUAAAGCGCGCGUAGGCGGACCUGCAAGUCGGGGGUGAAAGCCCGAGGCUCAACCUCGGAACUGCCUUCGAUACUGCGGGUCUCGAGUCCGGGAGAGGUGAGUGGAAUUCCUAGUGUAGAGGUGAAAUUCGUAGAUAUUAGGAAGAACACCAGUGGACGCGAAGGCGCUCACUGGCCCGGUACUGACGCUGAGGCGCGGAAAGCCAGGGGAGCAAACGGG